UACGUACUGUGCGAACGUUAUUCGGAAUCACUGGGCUUAAAGGGUGUGUAGGCGGCUGGACAAGCAGGGUGUGAAAGGCCUCGGCUCAACCGGGCAUUGCGCUCUGGACUGUCCGGCUCGAGCAAGACAGGGUGUGCGGAACUUCCAGUGGAGCGGUGAAAUGUGUUGAUAUUGGAAGGAACGCCGGUGGCGAAAGCGGCACACUGGGUCUUGUCUGACGCUGAGACACGAAAGCCAGGGGAGCGAACGGG
rnacentral:rRNA from 1 species